GCGGAUGUGGCGGAAUUGGUAGACGCGCUAGACUUAGGAUCUAGUGCCAUACGGCGUGGGGGUUCGAGUCCCUUCAUCCGCA
rnacentral:tRNA from 1 species